UUUGUUGAUUGAAAAUUAAAUAUCUAAAGAUAAGCAGAUUAAGGGAAGAGUGGUGAAAAUCCACCGCAGUCCCGCUACUGUAAUGGGAGACGAAAGCUGUAAUAGGCCACUGUUAAACACUUAUCAAAAAGUGAUAAAUGGGAAGGCACGGCGAUUAGAUUGACCCCUUAAGCCAGGAGACCUGUCUGCUUAGACAAACAAAU
rfam:Candidatus Atribacteria bacterium RBG_16_35_8 RBG_16_scaffold_11352, whole genome shotgun sequence.